rnacentral:rRNA from 1 species
AUUGAACGCUGGCGGCAGGCUUAACACAUGCAAGUCGAGCGAGCGGCGGACGGGUGAGUAAUGUCUUGGAAACUGCCUGAUGGAGGGGGAUAACUCCUGGAAACGGUAGCUAAUACCGCAUACCAUCAGCUGUGCCCAGAUGGGAUUAGCUAGUAGGUGGGGUAAUGGCUCACCUAGGGGACGAUCCCUAGCUGGUCUGAGAGGCUGACCAGCCACACGGGAACGGAGACACGGUCCAGACUCCUUCGGGAGGCAGCAGUGGGGAAUAGUGCGCGAGGGGGGCGACCCUGACGCAGCGAUGCCGCGUGUAUGAAGAAGGCCUUCGGGUUGUAAAGUUCUUUCGGUAGCGAGGCGUUAACUACAGAAGAAGCACCGGCUAACUCCGUGCCAGCAGCCGCGGUAAUAC